UUUUUCAAAUAUUCUAAGACCUUUCUUAUUGUGAGUAGUUUUAUGUCAUCGAGGAAUGUUAUAGGAUGUAUAGGAAUUCGCCCUUAACCAGUGGUGUAACAUUUGAGACUCAAGAUGGAGAAAUUUCCACUAGAAAACAUUUUUCUCUUUAAUAGGCUCUACAUAGUACAAAUUUAAAUUACUCAAGCCACGCCAUAAAUACUAAACACCUAAUGGUUUAAAAAAAAAAAAAAGCACUAGCUUUACCAUUUGAUUCCUUAGACUAAUUUACCUUAGUUAUCUAGUAAAAGAGUAGACUUUUAAACUUCUCCACCAAUUGGGCACACUGACCUUUAAAAUAUGUUUUUGAUCCAACAGAACUUCUGAGAAGCUCAUUUACACAAUACCAAUUCAAAUUGAAGAACUUGCUAAACUCAAUAUAUAAUUAACAAAAAUUAUUGAAGGAGAAAAAGAAGUGUAUUGUGUCUCUUCAAUCUGCACGGAGGUUGUUUUUACAUUAAAUGGUGAAAGUGUUUAUGGACCGGAUGCUUUUACAUGCUUGUUCUUUCAAACAUACCGGGAGAUAAUCAAGGUGGACAUUGUUGACAUGAUUAAGGCUUUUUUUUGGGGCAAGAAUUACCAUGGUUCAUUACACAGACAAACUUGGUUCUUAUUCUAAAGAACGAACAGUUGAUUAUGCAGGUAAUUGCUAGAUAUGAGAAAGCAUCAGGUCAGUUGGUGAAUCUAAACAAAAGUGUCUUCUUUAUGCAUGAGAAAGUUCAUAGAAGUCUAGUUUCAAGGUUGAAACAGAUUACUAAAAUAAAAAAGGUACUUUCCUUUCACAUAUCUUGGCUUCCCGGUGUUUACAAGAUCUCACAUUAUGAUGCAGUGGUCAAAAAGAGAGCCAAAAGAGUUUAAGCAUGGCAGGGAAAGUUAUUAUCAUAUGCUUGGAGAACAACUCUAAUCACUCAUGUACUCCAAAGUGUACCAGUAUACUUUUUAUCUGGAAUCAAUCGCCCUAAAUGUUUCAUAAGACAUGUAUAACAUAUUCACUAAGUUUUUUUGGUGUAGUUUAAUGGACAACAAAGGUGUACACUGGCUAAAAUGGUAUAGCUUAACUUUGCCAAAGGAGGAAGGGGAACUGAGUUUUAGAUCACUCUUUGAAGUAUCAAGUGCACUCUUUUGUAAAUUGUGGUGGAAUGUGAGAAUUAAACCUUCCUUUUGGAGUUCCUUUAUGAUCAACAAAUACUACGAAAAGAUGCAUCUAGUUAUAGCACAAGCCAAAGGGGCAUCACCUAUAUGGAAGACACUGGUUGCAGUGAGAGAACUGGUUGAACAUCAGAUCUGGUGGCAAAUCAAGAGAGGUGACUCUAGCUUUUGGUUUGAUAACGGGACCAACCAAGGAACUUUAUAUCAUGUUUUGCCUGAGGACUGUAGAGGAAAUAGAAGUUAAUCAGUUUGCUAAUACAAAAGGAUGAGAUUCUCAGGCUUUGACCUGAAGACUAUGUGCAGCAUGUUGUGCAUAACAUUCCACCUCCUGAUCGUAUGCAAAUGUAGAUAGAAGAUGGUGGUUACUUGAAAAGAAUGGGAUUUUUUUUGUCAAAAGUGUUGUGGACUAUGUGCGAUACAAGGAGGAGAAGUUGGAGAAAAUAUUUACCAUUCAAGUUCUCUUUCCUAUUAUGGAGAGCAUGUAAGUUUAUGAUACUUGUGGAUGAGAUACUGUGUAGGAGAGGAGUAUGUUUACCAUCCAAAUGUUGAUAUUGCAUAGCUCCUAAGCAGGAGACAUUAUCCCA